rnacentral:lncRNA from 1 species
AUCUCAUAAACUUUCUCAUAUUAUGUGUGUAAUUGAAAGUAGUAAUAUUAAUAACUAUAUAAAAUCAUAUUUUUCAAACUGUUUUACAAAAAUAUUCCACUCAAAAUACCAUAUCAAAUAUAUAUAACGGUAUCAAGGUUGUUAAAAUUACCGGAUCUUAUAGUCACAAAUCUUCUAUAAUCUUAUUAAUGGUCUUAAUCCCUUCAAGCUCAUAUGGAUUACUACGACUUAUCUUAAUAUUAAAGUACGGGGUGUAACAUCCUUCCCCCCUUUAGAACAUUCGUCCUCGAAUGUUAACUCUUAGAGAUUUACAAAUUUUUCACUAGGGUCUCCUUUUUAAAUUAAACUAAAAGCCAAACUAUAUCUGAAGUCUCGACUAUUCACAACCUUUUGUACUUAAGUUUCUCGUAUCUUCUUCAACUUUACCUCACUUACCUUUCAAUAUUGCAUCGUAUCUUCUGUCGCUUUCAUAACCUCCCUUCCACAGAGGUGGAAAUUACGCCUUAAAGCUCUACUGUGAUACUUGCACCUGUGGUGCAUAUAAAAUCUGGCGAAAGCUUCGUACUGACUUCUUAUGACUCAGCUCUAUGGCACGAUCUGGAAACAAAAGAAGGGUAGCAUUUCCUAAAUGCCCUAUAGCCUCUAAAUUAUAAAUGUGGCGCGCAAAACACCCAUAACUGAGACUCUACUAGGCACGACUUUGUAGACUCCCUAGGACACGACCCGUUCUGAUACCACUUUGUCACGCUCCAAACCUGGAGAGGCGUGGCUGGCACCCAGUGCCGUACUGGCCCGAGCGAACCACUCUGUAACUCAUUUUUUUUUCUGCAACUAUCAUGGACCAACAUGGCCAAAACUCGUAAUGUAUAACUAUAAGUGGGAAAAAUACUGUAUCACUAAAUCAUUUUUCUUAAAACAUGAAUACAUAUGAGCCGUCAAGGUCUCUGCCAUACUGAAUAAAAUGAACCUCUGUCUACAAAGCCUCUAAGAUUAUUUGACAUCAAAUGAGACAGUGUAUCGGCCUACCCAUAAGUAUUUAGCAAAACUCUAACACGAUAACUCAUAGUCUCGGCUGUACUCCAAAUGAGGUAGAGUCUUACCGAUCCUUUGCUGAAUGUCAAUCUCGUCUACUAUGAGAGCUCAUCAAACUGAUUAUCUACACCUGCAGGCAUGAAUGCAGCGUCCCUAACAAAAGGACGUUAAUACGAAUAAUGUACUGAGUAUGUAAGGUAGAACUGAAACAUAACCAUAAUUCAACAUUAAUUAAAGACAUAUAAGAAUCAACCUGAAUCUCUGAAGUGCCACCGUAUAUGCGUACUCAUUAUACUUAUAUAUAUAUAUAUAUAUAUAAUGCUUCUCUUUGAGACUAUUAUAAGUAUCGUAUGAUGCAUGACUGCCCAACUGAUCAGUGGUAACUGCCCGACCGACCGUAGCUCGGUGGUAAAAGCAUAACUGCCCAACCGGUGGUAACUGUCCGACCGGCCGUAGCUAGGUGGUAGAUGUGUAACUGCCCAACCGGUCGUAGUACGGUGGUAAAUAUGUAACUGCCCAACCGGCCGUAGCACGGUGGUAAAUGUAUGACUGCCAUACUUCGUUAGGAAAUACAGUUGUAAUUUAGGCUACUGACUAUAAAAGGAACCAAAUGAAACGAAAACCAUUUUUUAGUGGAAGCCUUCUGCUCGGAGUAAUAUCCAUGAAAUGAAAAUUAUAUCUAUGGAAACACUCCAAAAAUGAAGCACCAAAUCUGUGUAAUUAGUACACAACCAAACUGAGCUACAAUUUCCUCUCACCCACUUAGUUAAGUAAGCUGCAAAUAAGUAUGAAUAUGGCCCGAGCAUCUUAAUAUCUUAUUACAUCAAAUCUGUCUCCGUCCUUUUCGUGCUUUCUCUAUAUCAUUAAAGGUAUUAAAAUUAAGGAUUAAAUUGGAACAAGAUCGUUCCCAGAACACGUAGAGGGGCUAGAAUGUGAUCUUAACAAAUCUCAGAAAAGUCAUGAACACAGGAUGCCAACUAUUACAUGUAAUUAAUAUCCUUAAAUUGAUAUGCAUGAUCUUUGGGGAAUGAAUAACAUAGACAUCCUUAACUUCUAAGAGUAGAACCACUUAUGGAAUAUCAUUACAUUUACGUCUCGUUACUGGGAUCAUGCCAAAAGAAAGAAGGAAUAACCUUAACAUACCUGAGUCGAUUCUCUUGAGAAAGAUUACACCGUACUCCCUUAAUAUUGUAAAAUCUCACGUUAAUUAAGGUGCUCUGAAAUCUCGGGUUUUUGAAGUGUUGAAGACACUAUCAUAUUUGUAUACAUGGGUUGGAUGAAGAAGGAGAAGAGCGCAAAGUAGUGUCAACUAUGCGUUCAAAAUAUUACUGCUCUUGCCAAACAUAAGUAGAUUAUAACUACUGUAUAGAAUAAAGGCACAUCUGAAAGGAAGAAAAGACACAUGACCUCAUCAAAAGCUUAAAGAAAGGCCUCAAAUAGCUUACCUUUUGAAUAAGGCAAAGCUCCAAGAAAAAAUUACUGUGUGAUGCUUUAUGGUCCAGCACAAAAACUACACUUCCAAGAAUAUUGAUUAGAAAAUAAUAAUGUUUGUAGGAAUCGGUGGUAAGAAAUUGUGUUGAAAAUUUAUAAGGAUUGCUAAGAUUGUAAUGUCUUGAGAAGGAAAUUUGUUGAAACUUAUCAGAAUGGCUAACGUCCCCCACUUUUCAUUGUAGUGUCUUUGAUAUGGAAAUUAUUA